UACCUGGUGCAGUGUGAAAACAUUGUCACUGGGGAGACAAAGGUGGCCGGGUGUGGUGGUGCUGGCUACCCACCCCCUCGUAUGCUGUGCCGGCCUUCAUAGGCGCUGCUGCGGCUGCUGCUACAGCACUUGCCUGCUAGAGGCUGCACGGUAGAGCUACGUGUGAUAAUUGCAAUCUUCAAUGAAGGAGUAAGGCCUUGUGAGCGAGCAAGCAAGCUGUUGAGUGGAGGAGAUGGUGAGUGACUAAGUGAGAGAUUGAGUGACUAGGUGAGAGAUUGAGUGACUAGGUGAGAGAUUGAGUGACUAGGUGAGAGAUUGAGUGACUAAGUGAGUGAGUGACUAAGUGAGAGAUUGAGUGACUAAGUGAGAGAUUGAGUGACUAGGCGAGCGAUUGAGUGACUAGGCGAGAGAUUGAGUGACUAGGCGAGCGAUUGAGUGACUAAGUGAGUGACUAAGUGAGAGAUUGAGUGACUAGGCGAGCGAUUGAGUGACUGAGCGAGUGAAGAAGGAAUGAGCGAGCUCCUGAGGUCGACCCGGCAUGGAGUGGCCGGUGCAGCACCUGGGUGGGGAGGUGAAGGCUGCCGGGCCUCGUGCUGCCGGACGCGCAGUGCCACUGGCUGCUUUGCAGCACUUGCCCCUGCAGCCUGCUUGAGGCUCCCUGGGGGAGCUUUGGCGACACCUCGAGCUCGACGAGAGACGGCAAAUGGUGGUGGUUGACAGCCUGGUUGUCAUGGCAAUGAUUGCUGCUGCUGCUGUGCAGUAGGGCGCGAGAGAAGUUGAACGUGCAUAGAGGUGCUGCACUGUGGCCUGGAGAGGUUAACGGUCUCGCCUGGCACGCAGGAGGUCGUGGGUUCGAGCCGUGGAGUCUGCGCGCCUCUCUCCCCGUGGUGGUUACCGCGUGGAUUCCCUCUUCGUCGAGAAUCGGCGUCACCGCGCGUUUUAGAGCGUUUGGCUCCUGCUGAUGAGAAGCCACCACCUGGGUGAGCUGUCGUUUUGCUGGGUCAGGCCCCACUGGGCUGCUGUAGCGCUUUGUUCAGAAGCCACCCGGCCAUCAACGAUGAUAGCGGCUCAACCACGUGGCUGAGAUCACCAUCACGUGGACAUUACAGACAGAGACCCAUACUCAUACAGACCCACAGAGUCCCAUACUAACACUAAAUGUUUAUAGUUGUAGCGCUUUGUUCAGAAGCCACCUGGCCAUCAACAAUGAUAGCGGCUCAACCACGUGGCUGACAUCACCAUCACGUGGACAUUACGGAGACCCAUACUCAUACAGACCCAUAGAAUCCCAUACUCAUAGAGACCCAUACUCAGUUCCAUACUAAAACUAAAUGUUUAUAGUUGUAGCACUUUGUUCAGAAGCCACCUGGCCAUCAACAAAUGAUCUCAGCUCAACCACGUGGCCGAGAUCCUCGUCAGCCAAAUCCUCAAAUGUGGAGGGGAAAAACCGCAGGACCCACGGAUAAAAAAAAAUAUCCACGCAGCGACCACCACGGAGAGAGACGCACAACACGUUGCGUACCCGGCGAGGUAGUUAACAUCCCCUGUUAACUGGUGAUCAAAGUGUGUUGGGGAAGCUUGUGUUGGGGUUAUGGCGGUGCGUGUGGGUGGUGGUGGUGGUUGUUUAUCGAGGCUCGGUUCGUCACCAUUCCACGGCGGCUGGUGGCGUGGGUGGCCUAGAGAAAGACGCUCCCUCCGAGAUGUUAACUCCCUCUGAGAUGUUAACUCCCUCCGAGAUGUUAACUCCCUCUGAGAUGUCAACUCCCUCCGAGAUGUUAACUCCCUCCGAGAUGUUAACUCCCUCUGAGAUGUUAAC